rnacentral:rRNA from 1 species
GACGAACGCUGGCGGCGUGCUUAACACAUGCAAGUCGAACGGAAAGGCCCUGCUUUUGUGGGGUGCUCGAGUGGCGAACGGGUGAGUAACACGUGAGUAACCUGCCCCUGACUUUGGGAUAACUUCAGGAAACUGGGGCUAAUACCGGAUAGGAGCUCCUGCUGCAUGGUGGGGGUUGGAAAGUUUCGGCGGUUGGGGUUGGAGUCGCGGCUUAUCAGCUUGUUGGUGGGGUAGUGGCUUACCAAGGCUUUGACGGGUAGCCGGCCUGGGAGGGUGACCGGCCACAUUGGGACUGGGAUACGGCCCAGACUGCUACGGGAGGAAGGAGUGGGGACUAUUGCACAAUGGGCGGAGGCCUGAUGCAGCGACGCCGCGUGCGGGAUGACGGCCUUCGGGUAGUAAACCGCUUUCGCCUGUGACGAAGCGUGAGUGACGGUAAUGGGGAAAGAAGCACCGGCUAACUACGU